rnacentral:rRNA from 1 species
UACGUAGGGGGCAAGCGUUGUCCGGAAUCAUUGGGCGUAAAGCGCGUGUAGGCGGCCCGGUAAGUCCGCUGUGAAAGUCCAGGGCUCAACCUCGGAACUGCCUUCGAUACUGCGGGUCUCGAGUCCGGGAGAGGUGAGUGGAAUUCCUAGUGUAGAGGUGAAAUUCGUAGAUAUUAGGAAGAACACCAGUGGCGAAGGCGGCUCACUGGCCCGGUACUGACGCUGAGGAGCGAAAGCAUGGGGAGCGAACAGG